rnacentral:rRNA from 1 species
CGCGUAUCCAACCUGCCCACCACUUGGGGAUAACCUUGCGAAAGUAAGACUAAUACCCAAUGACGUCUCUAGAAGACAUCUGAAAGAGAUUAAAGAUUUAUCGGUGAUGGAUGGGGAUGCGUCUGAUUAGCUUGUUGGCGGGGUAACGGCCCACCAAGGCAACGAUCAGUAGGGGUUCUGAGAGGAAGGUCCCCCACAUUGGAACUGAGACACGGUCCAAACUCCUACGGGAGGCAGCAGUGAGGAAUAUUGGUCAAUGGACGAGAGUCUGAACCAGCCAAGUAGCGUGCAGGAUGACGGCCCUAUGGGUUGUAAACUGCUUUUAUAAGGGAAUAAAAGUGAGUCUCGUGAGACUUUUUGCAUGUACCUUAUGAAUAAGGACCGGCUAAUUCCGUGCCAGCAGCCGCGGUAAUACGGAAGGUCCGGGCGUUAUCCGGAUUUAUUGGGUUUAAAGGGAGCGUAGGCCGGAGAUUAAGCGUGUUGUGAAAUGUAGACGCUCAACGUCUGCACUGCAGCGCGAACUGGUUUCCUUGAGUACGCACAAAGUGGGCGGAAUUCGUGGUGUAGCGGUGAAAUGCUUAGAUAUCACGAAGAACUCCGAUUGCGAAGGCAGCUCACUGGAGCGCAACUGACGCUGAAGCUCGAAAGUGCGGGUAUCGAACAGGAUUAGAUACCCUGGUAGUCCGCACGGUAAACGAUGGAUGCCCGCUGUUGGUCUGAAUAGGUCAGCGGCCA